UAGGAAUCUUCGGCAAUGGGACGGAAGUCUGACCGAGCAACGCCGCGUGAGUGAAGAAGGUUUUCGGAUCGUAAAGCUCUGUUGUUGGAGAAGAAUGAUGGUGGGAGUGGAAAAUCCACCAUGUGACGGUAACUAACCAGAAAGGGACGGCUAACUACGUGCCAGCAGCCGCGGUAAUACGUAGGUCCCGAGCGUUGUCCGGAUUUAUUGGGCGUAAAGCGAGCGCAGGCGGUUCUUUAAGUCUGAAGUUAAAGGCAGUGGCUCAACCAUUGUACGCUUUGGAAACUGGAGAACUUGAGUGCAGAAGGGGAAAGUGGAAUUCCAUGUGUAGCGGUGAAAUGCGUAGAUAUAUGGAGGAGCACCGGUGGCGAAAGCGGCUCUCUGGUCUGUAACUGACGCUGAGGCUCGAAAGCGUGGGGAGCAAACAGGAUUAGAUACCCUGGUAGU
rnacentral:rRNA from 1 species